rnacentral:rRNA from 1 species
AUUGAACGCUGGCGGCAUGCCUAACACAUGCAAGUCGAACGGAGGUAGGGGCAACUCUACUUCAGUGGCGGACGGGUGAGGAAUGCGUCGGAAUCUACCCUAUGGUGGGGGAUAACACAGGGAAACUUGUGCUAAUACCGCAUGAUGUCGAGAGACCAAAGCAGGGGACCGCAAGGCCUUGCGCGAUAGGAUGAGCCGACGCCCGAUUAGCUAGUUGGUAGGGUAAUGGCCUACCAAGGCGACGAUCGGUAGCUGGUCUGAGAGGAUGAUCAGCCACACUGGGACUGAGACACGGCCCAGACUCCUACGGGAGGCAGCAGUGGGGAAUAUUGGACAAUGGGCGAAAGCCUGAUCCAGCCAUGCCGCGUGUGUGAAGAAGGUCUUCGGAUUGUAAAGCACUUUAAGUUGGGAGGAAGGGCAGUAAGUUAAUACCUUGCUGUUUUGACGUUACCGACAGAAUAAGCACCGGCUAACUCUGUGCCAGCCGCCGCAGUAAUAC